rnacentral:rRNA from 1 species
CAGUCGCCGCGGUAAUACGAAGGUCCCGAGCGUUGUUCGGAAUCACUGGGCGUAAAGGGAGCGUAGGCGGCGUGGUAAGUCAGAUGUGAAAUCCCGGGGCUCAACCCCGGAACUGCAUCCGAUACUGCCGUGCUAGAGGAUUGGAGAGGUAGCUGGAAUUCUUGGUGUAGCAGUGAAAUGCGUGGAGAUCAAGAGGAACACUCGUGGCGAAAGCGAGCUACUGGACGAUAUCUGACGCUGAGGCUCGAAGGCCAGGGUAGCGAAAGGGAUUAGAUACCCCGGUAGUCCCUGUCUCUUAUAC